rnacentral:lncRNA from 1 species
GGAUCUUCAGGUCGGAGGCCGGGGUGAGGCCGACCCACAGGCCGCCUUGCUCCCUCGCGAAGACGCUUAUGCCAGUCUCGCCCGUCCCCGCUCCUCCUCAGAGAAAAUGCUGCCCCGCAGCACUUACCGGAGCGACCAUGAGGGUGACGAUUUGAAGCACACACAGGCUUCCCGCCACCUCCUUUAAACCGCCGCUGGCUUGCCAGGGACAGACGGCGCGGUUGGCUCCCCAAAAUUCCGACUGAUACGCGCCUCGGCGAGCGAAAGCAAACGCGGGAUACUCUCGCGUUCCUGAUUGGCUGGUUGUGGACACCUCAAUUAUGACAGAAAGGGGCCGGGCGGGAAAGUUAGCUGUGGCCGGCGGGGAUUGGCAGAAGGAACCUGUACUUACUCGUUUUUCCCGGACGUUGGCUGGUGGAGAAGAGAGGCAGUUGGAAUUGAUCACACCUUUUCAGUUGUACUUCAAUCCUGAAUUAAUCUUUAAACACUUUCAAAUAUGGAGAUUAAUCACCAACUUCUUAUUUUUUGGGCCAGUUGGAUUCAAUUUUUUAUUUAACAUGAUUUUUC